GUUUCACUUCGAAAAUAUAUAUUCUUGAUUAUUGCAAAGACGAAUUCCACCUGAACCAAAAGAAGGAAUUUUUCUACAUCUAGGGGCUUGUACUGAAUAUUCCUCAGAGACUUAUUAACUUCAGAAUGGUGAAUUAUAAUGUAACUCGCAGAGGGAAUUGUACAAGAGAACUUACAAAACCUGAGGAAUCCACCGAGAAGGCGUUCAUGACAGAACAUUUGAUGGAGAAGACGUUCCUGACAGAACAUUCGACAGAGAAGGCAAAGAACAUUCUGGAAGAUGCACAACAUGGCUGUAAUUUCAACAGACUAAAGUCUAUGUGUUUUUUUUAAAUUAUAUGUAACUGGGACAUGUAUUUAUUAGAACAGCAUAACAUUAGAAUCUUGCUUUAUUCAGCAACAGUUAGCAGUUAUAAGAGGUUUAUUUGAUUUGGCAAUAGUUUAAUUAAUUUGUUCACUGUUAGACUUAGAUAAAUAAAUUGCUACUUGUUGGUUUUAAAGUGGGUAUCAGGUGUUUAUUUUGUUUAACCAUGAGAAGAUGCUGAAAGGCAGGUGACACCAUUUUCACACUCCUUUUACAGAUUAUAGGGUGAAGUGCUCCUCUUUGGGUGUUUCAGUUUUAGUUCUCUGGGGCAGGAGGGUGAAAACAGAUUGGGGGCUCAUCCAGGAUAGAAAUGGAUCUGUUGGAUCAGAUUGGAUUUGGACAGAUUUGAACAGAUUUAGGGUAUGAAAGGUUCCAGUAGAUUUAAACAGACUUGGG